CAAAUUCACUUUAUAAUAUUUAACUUUUUAAAAUGCUUUUAUGGAAAUUCUUUUUAUAGAAGACUACACAAGUUCACCAAAGCUGUUUUUGUACUGCAUUUUCUAUCAGGGUGUUGCCAUGUAAAAUUCACAUUUGGUGUAAGUGUGGGUCUGGGUGGGUUUCAAAACAAAUUGUUACAAAAGUAUUGUUUUCUAACUGUCUCAAGCACAUUAGGUAUUUGUAUUUUUACAGUCAAAGUGUUUGCUGGUGUUUCUUUAAAAAUCCUUUAAUAAUAAAAGUCAUUUUCAUGACUUGAGUAGGCAGCACCUUGGAAAAGCACUCAUUCCAUGUAGUUUCACUUGUAUGAUAUUGCUGCAGACAAAACUGUUAAUAAACAGCAUUUGAUAUACUUGUUUGGUUCAUAUAGUGGAUUAUUUUUUACAUUAGCUAUUAAGUUUUUUGUUUUGAUCCAUUUGUAAUGGUGUAGUUAUCUGAGCACUGUGGUUCUAUAAGGAAGCAAUAGAUGGCAGCAGUGUUUAAAAUAUAGCGGUUAUGUGUUUUAAUUCCUAAACCAAGCUGGCCAUGGGUAGUAUUAUUGUUUCAUGUAGACAAAGAUACUUUAAGGUGAUGUAGGAGACUUGUGAAGUAAACAGUGAAAAAUAUUUGAUUGUUAUCAUGUAAAAGGUGUGACUUAAGUUAUUUCACACUAAUUAAAGUGUGAAUCUUAUGCAUAAAAUACUGGCCAUGAAAUUAGAUUGAGCAAUUUUAUUUAUUUUUUUUAAAUCUCUGUUUAAAUGUUGUUUCCAUUACAAAAUAUUUUCAUAAAAUAUCAUUAAUCUGAGAUGUGGUGGAAAUUUCAUGUUUAGUUGUGUGUGCAGUGACUAUUAGUAGACAAAUAAAGUGUUUUCAGAGCUGUUUAGUCCACAGCCAGUAGUUGAAGAAACUCUUGGUACCCUAUUGACUUUCCUCUGACCUACAAGGACCAAUGUAAGACUCAUUAAGAACAUAAGUUAUUAGCUACAAAAUAUCUUUGUCGCCUCUGCCUUAAUGAGCAACAACAUCCACGUCAUUAUAAUAGUCUAAAAUCC
rnacentral:lncRNA from 12 species